CAACGCGAAGAACCUUACCAACUCUUGACAUCCCAUUGACCGCUUGAGAGAUCAAGUUUUCCCUUCGGGGACAAUGGUGACAGGUGGUGCAUGGUUGUCGUCAGCUCGUGUCGUGAGAUGUUGGGUUAAGUCCCGCAACGAGCGCAACCCCUAUCCUUAGUUGCCAGCAUUCAGUUGGGCACUCUAGGGAGACUGCCGGUGACAAACCGGAGGAAGGUGGGGAUGACGUCAAAUCAUCAUGCCCCUUAUGAGUUGGGCUACACACGUGCUACAAUGGACGGUACAAAGGGCAGCGAGACCGCGAGGUGGAGCCAAUCCCAUAAAGCCGUUCCCAGUUCGGAUUGCAGGCUGCAACUCGCCUGCAUGAAGUCGGAAUCGCUAGUAAUCGCAGGUCAGCAUACUGCGGUGAAUACGUUCCCGGGUCUUGUACACACCGCCCGUCACACCACGAGAGUUUGCAACACCCGAAGCCGGUGAGUAACCACAAGGAGC
rnacentral:rRNA from 1 species